CUGUGUAGCCACGCAGGAGGAGCUCAGCCACCGAGCUGCUGACGAGAUCUUUGUUCCAGCCCAGCUGUUUGAGUCCUGCCGUGGAGACACCGUGCUCAUUUCAUUUGUUUCUGGGAUUCUUUCUGCGCUCGUGGUUUUGUCUCUCUGUGUGUGUUUCAUCUACGCUACAGCGUAACUCGCCUUUAAAGUUUCUCAGUGAAACCAGAGACACGAUGUUUCUGUGAAGCUGAUUUACAGCAGACUCCAGGCUCCAGAACAAAGUUACUGAGGAAAACAGAUUCAUACCUCAGUGAACUGAAAUCCUGCGUUUUCUUUGUCUUUAUGUUGAUCCAGCUUAUUACAGGGAAGGAAAUACUCUUGCUUUAAUUCAUGCCAUCUUUUUUAAUUGCAUUGAGAAGCAGUGCUUUCUAUGAUGAUCAUGAAAUGUGAAAACAGACACUGCAUUUGACAUGUUGUUAUCAGGAACUGUGAAGCACGCGGAAGUGCAGCUGGUUUUAAUUCUGUUCGGUCCUGUUACAGGAUGUCUGUGAAUGUUUUUAGUGUUUGUGCUCCCAGAACUACUGCUCUCAUUAUUAUUAUUAUUAUUGUAUGUUUCAUGUCUGCAGACAGACAGUCUCGGUCAUUAGUCACACAGGAGAUCGUUUCACAGGUCGUCCCAUCUCAAAUCAACAAAACAAACAAACAAUUUGAAGACAUGAACGUUGUGCUGUUUAUAGACGUGUCUGCAUCUGUGUUGAAUUGCCUUUUUAAAAUUCUGUCACUAUAAAAACUGCUCAAGAUCCUUUAAUUUAAUAUCUGAUGCAAUGACAAGAGCUCCACUCCUAAAGAUACAUAUUCACAGAGCCAUGUUUACAUCUGUGCACAUAUACAGUAACUAACUGAGGCUGUGUAAAGUGCAAAAUGUACCUCUGCUGUGUAAUGCACAACCUUCUUUUCAAAACAUGUGUUAGAGGCUUCCUCCUCAUCAUCAUCGCCCCUCCGACCCCCCAUCCUCUGCCCAGUGUUUUCCUGAUGAAGGCCACAAGCAGAAACAUGUUGAUUGAGCAAUAAAGUCGUUCUCGUUCCCACGAUGCUGCUCGAGCUUCACCUGCUUUAGGCUAUCGCUCUUCUCCAUGCACCUUGAGUAAUAAGUGAAGUUGUGCCAGAGAUCUUUGUGUUUCCACGGAUGUCGUCCUGAUACAGAAUCACAUCAGCUCCAGUUUUAUCUCUUUACAGUGAA